rnacentral:lncRNA from 1 species
UUCUGGCGUGAGGUUCGUCAUUCAUCGUCAAGUAGCUCGCAAGAUUGGUUUUCCCCAUCUUCAGGUUACGUUCAUUGUGUGAUUGGGAGAUUGCUAUCAGUUACUUUUGGAUAAGGAGAUGCAUCGUGAAAGAUCGGACCAAACAGUUUUUAUCAUCUUGGUAUCCGAGCGCCAGGUUGAUCACGGUGCGGGUUGUUUCGUCGGAGGCAAUCUUGUUCUUGGCGGGUUGGUGCUGCAGCAGUUCAUCGUUUUCUUUCGGUGCUCGCGAGUUGGAGAUCGCAUGCGGAAAGGAUUUCCAAUCUUGGCGAGUUCGUUUUUUCCAAUCAGGUGAUCAGAUCGGAUCGGUUGGCCUGGUAGCGACGGGAAAGAUUCCUUGAUCAGAUUCCUUUCAAAUCGGGAGAUACCAGAUUGACUGGAUUUUCUUCCGCGUGCUGAACAGGAAAAAAAAAGAAAAAAAAAUAGAAACGGAAUUGUGCGUGGGUCAGGUUGGGGUUGCAUCUACGUGAGAACUUUGUACAAGAUUGAUUGGCAUAGCUAUUUGACUUGAAAGGAAAGGAAAGUGGAAUCGGAGGAUUGAGUUGCAGUCGGUUUCAUUUAUUCUGCCGGACAUCGUUGGGCUACGCAUUUUUUUGUUUCGAGCAGAUCCGUUUCGUCCGUGUGGACAUUUCGCUGCAUCUACGUUGCUACAGCAAUAAUAGAAUAAUAUUCAGAGAUGGCUUUAAGUGCUGAUUUGCAAGGUGAUGGGAUUGCUCUUUCAGCGCACGACGUCUACAGUGAUUAUCUAGACCAGAAGAGACAUAUACCUUGGGAUCCUAGUAAACGGACGUGGAAGCUUCUACAUCAUGCAACACCGACACAGUACAAGUUAUGGGGAAAAAAGAUGGAGCAUGGUUUUUGCUUGUGUAAUCUCAAGCAUGAUGAUCCUAUCGCGUACACACUUGAUCCUAUCGCGUACACACUUGCAACAAUGCGUGUGGAUGGACAAAUAUAUAUUUGAUGGGGUAUCAAAACUCGUGCAAGGGGCAUCCCAAGAACAGCUAGUUGGGAGGAUUAUAGGAAGUUUUUGCGUGCUAAAUUUGUGGCACAAUCUGAGACGGAGGACAAGUUGGUUAUUCCAGAGGAGGUUGUACCAUUGAGUGGUUUGAAUGUGCAACUCAAGAGAGU